UCAAUACUUUUUUUUUUAUCUAAACCCUAAACCAUCAACCAUAAACCCUAAAACUCAACUCUAAACCCUAAACCGUCAAUUUUAAACCUUAUUUUUUCUUAAAUAUGAACCCUAAACCCUGAAACAUGAACUCUAAACCCUAAACCCCGAAACAUCAACUCUAAACCCUAAACCCUAAAACAUCAACUUUAAACCCUAAACCCUAAACUUCAACUCUAAACCCUAAACCAUCAACACUAAACCCUAAAAUAUCAACACUAAACCCUAAACCCUAAAAGUAAACUCUAAACCGUAAACCCUAAAAAAUUAAGCCUAAACCCUAAAACAUUAACUCUAAACCCUAAACCUUCAACUCUAAACCUUAAAUCCUAAACCCUAAAUCCUAAACCCUAAACCCUAAAACUAGAGUUGAUGUUUUAGGGUUUAGAUUUGAAGGUUUAGAGUUUUAGGGAUUAGAGUUUACGUUUAGGGUUUAGAGUUGAUGUUUUAGGGUUUAGAUUUGA
rnacentral:lncRNA from 1 species